GAGGUGGAGUUACCGCCUUUAAUCAGGAAAUCCAUUGUACCCAUUGCAGUUGUACAAUGUAGUUCAGUUAACGAUGUAAACAAAAGUAGCUAGGCGCGCUGAAACUAGUUAAUUUUAGCGUCUAGUGUUUGCUAACGAUGUUAGAAACUUCAACUGAACUUAGCCUCAGCUAUAAUUCAAACUAAGCUGAUGUAACGUUUGUUAUUUAAUUUCAAUUUACGCAGUUUAACUGGCGUCACUGCGGCUCAGUGUGGUUAUGGUUAGCUAGUAACGUUAAUGCUGUCAUAAAGGUUGCUACGGUUUGUCAGCUUAGCUGUUAGCUAACAUAAGACAACUUAAAAGUGUCUACAGGGACAGAACACCCUAAAGUAUUUGAUAAACAUUUCAACCAGAUGGAGGCUUUUUUAGAAUCACUGCAGAAUCCUGAUCUAAGCUCUGUCCUGUCAUCUUGUGUGCCAGAGGUCCAGGAGUUAAUGCGACAGGUUGACAUAAUGAUCAGUGACCAGAGGAGGGUGUGGGAGGCUGAGAUCCAGGCCAUGGGGCUCAGGCUGAAAAGUGGAGAAGAGGAGUUGUUGACUUCCAGGAAUCUCAUUGAACGGAGGGACCUGGAGAUUGGGUUGCUCCACAAGCAGCUAGAAGACUUCCAGACUGAUCGACAACAGUUAGUUUCCAAGUAUGAACAACAAUUGCAGAAGGUCCGCGAAGAGUUGGAGCGAUUAAAGAGAAAUUACCACAAGCUUCAGCGCAAACAGUUCAAGAACAACAGUGGAGGAGUGAAAGAGAUGGACCUUUCAGAGGUGACCAAACUGCAUGAAAAAAUUGAGGAAUAUCAUCAACGCUCUGCAGAGUGGGAGCAGCAACACAUCCAGUACCAGAAACGGCUGACAGCACUGGAGGCCCAGAACAAGAGCCUGACUGAUGAGCUCACACAUGAGAAAUCCCAGUGGGCACUGUGGCAAAUGGAGAGGGAGCACAGGGAGUGCUGCAUAGAGGUACAGAAUCUGCAUACAAAGCUGGACAAGACUCAGGGCAGCUUGCAAGCACAGGAGCUUGAACUGGAGCGACUCCGACCGCUCGAGAUGUGGCUCACACAGUACCAGAGAGAGCAGCAGGUGUUUUCAGAGGAACGUGAGGAACUUCACGCCACACUGGACUGUCAGGAUUCAUUUGUGCGACGAGCCAGUUUUGAACGCCAAAGGUUUCGUAAUGACGCUGCCAGACUCAACCAAAUACUGGAAGCUAAAGAUCAAGUCAUUCGCUCUCUGGAGGACUGUUUAAUGGCCCAGGGCUGUGCUGGUGUGGAAACCCUCAGGCAAGAUCUGGAGAGGACUGCAGCUAAGCUCCACUGUGCCCAAGCAUGUGAGGUUCAUCUCAAGGCUGAACUGGCAUGUCUCAAAGAGAGACUGGAUAAGGUGAGCCAACAGAGAGCUGACCACUCAAAGACAGAACAAGAUCUGAGAAGUAUAAAAGCAGAGUAUGACUCUUCUAUUGCUGAAAUGAAAAAGCUCAGAGAAGAGCUUCAGAGAGCCAAACAGACUCACAGCGGCGAGGUGGAGGGAAUGAGAAAGGAAGUGUCAAAGCUCACCAGCGAGCUGCACCAGCGCGACCUCGCCAUCAGCUCACUGAGUGGCUCUUCAUCCAGCAUCAGGCAGCAGCUUCAUGUCGAGGUGGAGCGAGCAGAACAGAAGGCAGCUGAGUUAAAAACGCAGCUGGAGACUCUACAAGCUGAGAACCAUCAUCUGAAGCGUCUGCUGCACAGACUGGAGUCCCAGUCACCCCAGAGAGGGGACUCCUUGCUUACAUCCCCGAGGGAGAGUUAUAAGUCCUCCCAGAGCAGCCUGGAACAGGAGAAACGACAGCUAAGGCAGGCACACAGUGACAUGCAUUCCCAAGUCUGGGAUAAAUAUGAAGAAGCCCUGCCCAGUCACACCAUAUCUGACAAACCACAGCCUGCUCAGGAGAGGAAUGAAGAUACCAGACAUCACAAACACCAGGAGGAGAUGCAGGCCUCAAAAACUAAGCUGCAGGAGAACACCACUCACAAUGAAGGAGAGAUCCAGAGGCUCUUUAAAAAGCUGCAGACACUGUCCCAGUCCCCCACAGACCAGCCCUGCAGCCAGGUGCAAGACAGCAGCAGGCCUCAUUCAUCAGCAUCCUCCUCCUCUCUCUCCUUCAGCAGCAAAAAACUCGCCAGGAAAAACUCAGUGCCAGCCUCAAGUUCAAGUGAAUCUGCUGGCUGAGGGACAAAGCUCCAGCUCCGAAGACUCUCUGAAUCUUGUGUCCAGAGAAAAAAAUAGUCCCUCUUCCUCUCCACUGGAGCCUUUGCCGCCUGCAGACAGCAUGGUCAUUCGUUUCCUGGAGGAGGAGAUGUUACGGACCAAGGAGCUGUUCCAGAAACUGGACACCCACAUCACAGAUAUGAGACAGAACAACGUCAGGACAGUCUCCAAGUUCUUACCCGAUGGCUCAGGUCGUUGAGUCUGCCCAGACAUCUGUACAGAAUGGUCAGUGAUCGAGUAUGAUGGAAUAAAUCUGAAAAAAGUGCCUUGAACAGCAAUGCAGACUGACAUUUGUGGAACAUUUUGAUACACACCACACUUAAUUCAACUUUAGAGGCAUCUGUCCAUAUUUUUUUUACGUUUAUUUGCACAUAUAGUAUCAGUAUGGCAGCUCAGAGCUGUGAGUUCACCCAAGUGUUUCUUAACUGUCAGAAAGAGUGAAUGUAUUUCAGUUAUUUCAGUGAGCUCUAAUCAUAUAAAGUGCUGUCGGGCCACAGCAGUAUACAUGCAAGUAUUAGCACGUGCAAUCUGUUCACACAGUGAAGGCCAAGCAGUUCAAUGUUAUAUUUAUGACAAAGUAUUUGUCUCAUUAUUGGCUCAGAACAGGAGCAGAAAACAUGCCUGAGAAAAUGUCACAGCUUGUAACGUAGACUUUUGCAAAGUCUUACAUUAUAGAAUCUGGAACCACUUAAAUUUUGCCUUUUUUUUCAGCGGUUAAUAAUAAGUAUUAUCAAAAUUCUUUAUUAAUUUCCCAAUGCUCUUCUAAUCAGUUAAUCAAAUAACGGUCUCAGCUCUGGUCAGCUUAUAAUUGUGUGAAAAGGCCAAAAAAACUCUCUGCUUGCUUUUGUGGUCACAGACAUAACCCACUGACUGAGUCACGAUGGUCGACAGCAGGAACUCACAACGACUAACUGCUGGUGUUACGUCAGGACUCAAGCAUGUAUUGGGUUUUCAUAAGAGUGAACCCAAAUUGUUUGCCAGUUGUUUCAGGGACACGUAUGUGCAGGACUUCAGGGGUAAAGAUACUAAAGAUGCCAGAUGUUUGGGCUCCUGUGCCCAAGAUGUUUUACGUUAUGCUGUGUCCCAUUCCAGCGCGUAUGACUGCUGAUGUUUGAGUGUUGCAGCUAGGGAAAAAAACACAGGAAUAUGCUUGAUUUCCUGAACAGAGAUUCUUUCUAUCUGAGAUAAUCAUAACAUUUUGUGAUUAAACCAUGUUGCUGCACAUAUGUCUCUGAAAGUAAACUGCACGCAUCAUUAUCAGCUCAUGGUUUACAUUUGUGUCGACUGUACUUGUAAUAAAUGAAAUCAGUCUUUAGAA